AAUCGAACCCGGAGAUAGCUGGUUCUCCUCGAAAUAGCUUUAGGGCUAGCCUCGUUUUAGUCUUGUGGAGGUAGAGCACUGAAUUUCCGCGGGGGCGUCAAAGCUUACCAAAGAAUAUCAAACUCCGAAUGCCAUUAAGAUGAUGAACGGGAGUCAGACUGUACGAGAUAAGUUGGACAGUCAAAAGGGAAAGAGCCCAGACCACCAGCUAAGGUCCCAAAGUGUGUGUUAAGUGGAAAAGGAUGUGGGGAUUCAAAGACAACUAGGAUGUUGGCUCAGAAGCAGCCAUACAUUCAAAGAGUGCGUAACAGCUCACUAGUCGAGAGUCCCUGCGCCGAAAAUGUCCGGGGCUGAAACACACCACCGAAGCCGUGGAAUUGCUUAGGCAAUUGGUAGAGGAGCAUUCUUAAGACCGAUGAAGCUGUACCGGAAGGAGCAGUGGAGGGAUAAGAAGAGAGAAUGCCGGAAUGAGUAGCGAGAGGAAGGUGAGAAUCCUUCCGGCCGAAUAUCCAAGGAUUCCAGGGUAAAGCUGAUCUGCCCUGGGUAAGUCGGGACCUAAGGAGAGGCCGAGAGGCGUAUCCGAUGGACAACAGGUUUAGAUUCCUGUACCACAUAUGGUCAGAACUGUGGGGACGCAGAAGGAAAGCAUGAGCCAGGAAUGGAAAGACUGGUACAAGCAGAGGGGAUGGUGUGCUGGCAAAUCCGCACACGAAAAUCCUUGCUGUGAUGUGGAGCGAACUAAAGUAGCGAAGCAUGCGGACCGGCUGCCGAGAAAAGCCGCUAUUGUACCAUAUGUGCCCGUACCGUAAACCGACACAGGUGGAUGAGGAGAGAAUCCUAAGGCCGACGGAAGAAGUAUUGUUAAGGAACUCGGCAAAAUGACCCCGUAACUUCGGGAGAAGGGGUGCCUGAGAAAUCAGGCCGCAGAGAAUAGGCUCAAGCAACUGUUUAGCAAAAACACAGGUCUAUGCAAAACCGAAAGGUGAAGUAUAUGGGCUGACGCCUGCCCGGUGCUGGAAGGUUAAGAGGAGAGGUUAGCGCAAGCGAAGCUUUGAAUUUAAGCCCCAGUAAACGGCGGCCGUAACUAUAACGGUCCUAAGGUAGCGAAAUUCCUUGUCGGGUAAGUUCCGACCCGCACGAAAGGCGUAAUGAUUUGAGCGCUGUCUCGACAAUGCAUCCGGUGAAAUUGAAGUACCAGUGAAGAUGCUGGUUACCCGCGCCAGGACGGAAAGACCCCAUGGAGCUUUACUCCAGUUUGGUACUGGGAUUCGGUACUGCAUGUACAGGAUAGGUGGGAGACGAAGAAGUUAGGACGCCAGUCUUAACGGAGUCGCUGUUGGGAUACCACCCUUGCAGUAUUGGGUUUCUAACCAGCCGCUGUGAACCAGCGGUGGGACAAUGCCAGGCGGGGAGUUUGACUGGGGCGGUCGCCUCCGAAAGGGUAUCGGAGGCGCUCAAAGGUUCCCUCAGAAUGGUUGGAAACCAUUCGAAGAGUG
rnacentral:rRNA from 1 species